YMCUGSCUCAGAGCGAACGUUAGCGGCGCGCCUAACACAUGCAAGUCGCACGAGAGGGGGGCAACCCCUGAAAGUGGCGCACGGGUGCGUAACACGUAGAUAAUCUGCCCUUCGGCGGGGGAUAACGUUCCGAAAGGAGCGCUAAUACCGCAUACAGCGUUUCGUGGUUCGCCACGGGAUGGCAAAGGUUGGGACCCGCAAGGGCCAAUCACCGAAGGAGGAGUCUGCGGCCCAUCAGCUAGUUGGUAAGGUAACGGCUUACCAAGGCAAAGACGGGUAGCUGGUCUGAGAGGAUGAUCAGCCACACUGGUACUGGAACACGGACCAGACUCCUACGGGAGGCAGCAGUGGGGAAUCUUGGUCAAUGGGCGCAAGCCUGAACCAGCGACGCCGCGUGAGUGAUGAAGGCCUUCGGGUUGUAAAGCUCUGUGGGGAGGGACGAAAGCCUCGGUUCUAACAGGACCGAGUUUGACGGUACCUCCUUAGCAAGCACCGGCUAACUCUGUGCCAGCAGCCGCGGUAAGACAGAGGGUGCAAACGUUGCUCGGAAUCACUGGGCGUAAAGGGCGUGUAGGCGGGAAGGUAAGUCGGGCGUGAAAUCCCUGGGCUCAACCCAGGAACUGCACUCGAAACUACUUUUCUUGAGUGCCGGAGAGGAAAGCGGAAUUCCUGGUGUAGAGGUGAAAUUCGUAGAUAUCAGGAGGAACACCAGUGGCGAAGGCGGCUUUCUGGACGGUAACUGACGCUGAGACGCGAAAGCGUGGGGAGCAAACAGGAUUAGAUACCCUGGUAGUCCACGCCGUAAACGAUGAGCGCUAGGUGUCGUGGGUAUUGACCCCCGCGGUGCCGAAGCUAACGC
rnacentral:rRNA from 1 species